GGUUUGGAUGUCCUCAGUCUGAAAAAAGCCACCUCACUUUUCCUCCUGCAAGCCAAGGAUGGUCAAGGGAGCAGUCCUCACAGCAACCCUGUAAGGGUCCUUUGAGGAAGACUCUGUCCUUUCACCAUGGGGGAGUGGGAACUCUUGGAUUCAGGCCAGAAGGCUCUGUAUAAGGAAGCCAUACUGGAGAACUAUGGGAAAGUGGCCUCUCUGGAAGCCCUGCCCAAACCAGACCUCAUCUCCAAGCUGGAAGAAGGAGAAGAUCCAGUUGCCCAAGCAAACAACUGUGAAGUUGGAACAGACACAUUUGGGAAUCAAAGGAGAUUGACAAAAUAUGAGGGAAAUGAAGCAAACUCCGAUACGAAGCAAGUAUUUACUUCUGGGGGGACUGACUUCCACGAACACCAAAUCCCCCAAAAAGGAUAAACCGUAUGAAUGCAUGAAGUGUGGAAAGAACUUCAGCCAGCGUGGACAACUUACUUCACAUCAAAGAACACACAAUGGAGAGAAACCCUAUCAAUGCAUUGAGUGUGGAAAGACCUUUAGUCAGCGUGGAC